GUGAGGAAUAUUGCGCAAUGGAGGCAACUCUGACGCAGCCAUGCCGCGUGCAGGAAGAAGGCGCUACGCGUUGUAAACUGCUUUUAACCGGGAAGAAACCCCAGGACGUGUCCUGGGUUGACGGUACCGGAGGAAUAAGCACCGGCUAACUUCGUGCCAGCAGCCGCGGUAAUACGAAGGGUGCAAGCGUUAUCCGGAUUCAUUGGGUUUAAAGGGUGCGUAGGCGGAGCGUUAAGUCAGUGGUGAAAUCCUGCAGCUUAACUGUAGACUGGCCAUUGAUACUGGCGCUCUUGAGUGCGCUUGAAGUGGGCGGAAUGUGCCGUGUAGCGGUGAAAUGCUUAGAUAUGGCACAGAACACCAAUUGCGAAGGCAGCUCACUAAGGCGAUACUGACGCUGAGGCACGAAAGCGUGGGGAUCGAACAGGAUUAGAAACCCUAGUAGC
rnacentral:rRNA from 1 species